GACCCCAGGUCAGGCGGGACUACCCGCUGAGUUA
rnacentral:rRNA from 1 species